rnacentral:rRNA from 1 species
AUUGAACGCUGGCGGCAUGCUUUACACAUGCAAGUCGAACGGCAGCGCGGGGGCAACCCUGGCGGGCGAGUGGCGAACGGGUGAGUAAUGCAUCGGAACGUAUCCUGUAAUGGGGGAGUAACGUAGCGAAAGUUACGCUAAUACCGCAUACGCUCGAGAGAGGAAAGUGGGGGAUCGCAAAGACCUCACGUUAUAGGAGCGGCCGAUGUCCGAUUAGCUAGUUGGUGGGGUAAAGGCCCUACCAAGGCGACGAUCGGUAGCUGGUCUGAGAGGAUGAUCAGCCACACUGGGACUGAGACACGGCCCAGACUCCUACGGGAGGCAGCAGUGGGGAAGUUUUGGUACAAUGGGCGAAAGCCUGAUCCAGCCAUGCCGCGUGCGGGAAGAAGGCCU